GCAAUAGUGGUUUAAGGGUAAAAUCCGAGCUUCCCAUGCUCGGGCUCCGGGUUCGAGUCCCGGCUGUUGCA